CAGUAGCCGCGGUAAUACGAAGGGGGCUAGCGUUGCUCGGAAUGACUGGGCGUAAAGGGCGCGUAGGCGGAUCACGCAGUCAGAUGUGAAAUUCCUGGGCUUAACCUGGGGGCUGCAUUUGAGACGCGUGGUCUAGAGUGUGAAAGAGGGUCGUGGAAUUCCCAGUGUAGAGGUGAAAUUCGUAGAUAUUGGGAAGAACACCGGUGGCGAAGGCGGCGACCUGGUCUUUUACUGACGCUGAGGUGCGAAAGCGUGGGGAGCAAACAGGAUUAGAUACCCGCGUAGUCCCUGUCUCUUAUAC
rnacentral:rRNA from 1 species